rnacentral:rRNA from 1 species
GUGGGGAAUAUUGGACAAUGGGGGGAACCCUGAUCCAGCCAUGCCGCGUGUGUGAAGAAGGCCUUUUGGUUGUAAAGCACUUUAAGCGAGGAGGAGGCUACCGAGAUUAAUACUCUUGGAUAGUGGACGUUACUCGCAGAAUAAGCACCGGCUAACUCUGUGCCAGCAGCCGCGGUAAUACAGAGGGUGCAAGCGUUAAUCGGAUUUACUGGGCGUAAAGCGCGCGGAGGUGGCCGAUUAAGGCGAAUGUGAAAUCCCCGAGCUUAACUUGGGUAUUGCAUUCGAUACUGGUUGGCUAGAGUAUGGGAGAGGAUGGUAGAAUUCCAGGUGUAGCGGUGAAAUGCGUAGAGAUCUGGAGGAAUACCGAUGGCGAAGGCAGCCAUCUGGCCUAAUACUGACACUGAGGUGCGAAAGCAUGGGGAGCAAACAGGAUUAGAUACCCGGGUAGUCC